rnacentral:rRNA from 1 species
GACGAACGCUGGCGGCGUGCUUAACACAUGCAAGUCGAACGAAGCAACCAUUAAGUUUACUUAAAGAUUGCUUAGUGGCGGACGGGUGAGUAACGCGUGAACAAUCUACCUGUCAGAGGGGGACAACACUUAGAAAUAGGUGCUAAUACCGCAUAAGACCACACUGUCGCAUGGCAGAGAGGUAAAAGAUUUAUCGCUGAUAGAUGAGUUCGCGUAUCAUUAGCUAGUUGGUGGGGUAACGGCCUACCAAGGCGACGAUGAUUAGCCGGCCUGAGAGGGUGAACGGCCACACUGGAACUGAGACACGGUCCAGACUCCUACGGGAGGCAG